rnacentral:rRNA from 1 species
GACGAACGCUGGCGGCGUGCUUCACACAUGCAAGUCGAACGAAGUGGCGAACGGGUGAGUAACGCGUAAUCAACCUGCACUUCAGAGGGGGACAACAGUUGGAAACGACUGCUAAUACCGCCUACUGAAGGUGGGGAUUUCGUCGGAUUAGCUAGUUGGCGGGGUAACGUCCCACCAAGGCGAUGAUCAGUAGCCGGUCUGAGAGGAUGAACGGCCACAUUGGGACUGAGACACGGCCCAGACUCCCACGGGAGGCAGCAGGGGGGAAUAUUCCGCAAUGGAGGAAAGUCUGACGGAGCAACGCCGCGGGAGGGAUGACGGCCUUCGGGUUGUAAAGCUCUGUUAAUCGGGACGCGGUACCGGAAUAGAAAGCCACGGCUAACUACGUGCCAGCCGCCGCGGUAAUAC